GAGGGUUUAACUCAGUUGGUAGAGUGUGUGACUUUUAAUCACUUUGUCGCAGGUUCGAUCCCUGUAACCCUUA
rnacentral:tRNA from 1 species